UACGGAGGGUGCAAGCGUUAUCCGGAUUCACUGGGUUUAAAGGGUGCGUAGGUGGAGUGGUAAGUCAGUGGUGAAAUCUCCAAGCUUAACUUGGAAACUGCCGUUGAUACUAUCAUUCUUGAAUAUCGUGGAGGUAAGCGGAAUAUGUCAUGUAGCGGUGAAAUGCUUAGAUAUGACAUAGAACACCGAUUGCGUAGGCAGCUUGCUACACGAUCAUUGACACUGAGGCACGAAAGCGUGGGGAUCAAACAGG
rnacentral:rRNA from 1 species